GGUGAAAGGAUCUGACUUCCCGACACUCGGUAGUUGAUGAUGUGAUGAACACACAAUAGAUGCAGAUACUCUUGGUGCCCCAAGUUUGAUCUCUUGCUGAUAUAUUGUAUAUUUGUCUCUGAGAAGAUCUCGAUUUCUUCUUCUGAAGCAUUUGGCCAGCCUGUGACUGAGCAUAGCGACGUGAUCAACGCAUGAUGAUUGUGC
rnacentral:lncRNA from 1 species